CCCACACCUAGAAUGGGUCUGUGACACUGGACAACUUCAGCUGUCCACCUGUCUCCCUGCACUCCUCUCUCUUUGGAAGCCUCUGCCCAUGGACUUGACUAAUAUUUGAGGACUGUCUGCAAUUUAAAUGUGCACAGAAUGAGACUCAGAAAGGUGGAGACUCCCAGUAAAGGAUGACAGAGGGCACAGAAGCCACCAGCAGAUUCUUUGGAAGGAAGUAACAGGAGUGGAACUUCAUUUUCCCAUGGAUUGUAAAGGGCUGGGCUCCCUUCCACCUCUUCUCACUGGCCUCCUGUUUGUACCCCUGACCUCUCCGGGAUCUGGAUCCCAACACUGUCUUCUGCAAUGAAAACCCUGAUUUUCUAUAUCUGGACAAAAGACUAGGACAUAACGAGAAUUUUAGCGGAAGGAACUGAGGGAGAGAGAUUGCACAGCAGACAAGGACAAAUAAAGGGAAGGUGGAAACAAGGGU
rnacentral:lncRNA from 1 species